rnacentral:rRNA from 1 species
UACGAAUGGAGCGAGCGUUGUUCGGAAUCACUGGGCGUAAAGCGUGCGCAGGCGGUUGUGAAAGUCAGGAGUGAAAUCCCAGGGCUUAACCCUGGAAUUGCUUUUGAAACUUCACGACUAGAGUACUGGAGGGGUUGGCGGAAUUCCGAGUGUAGCAGUGAAAUGCGUAGAUAUUCGGAGGAACACCGAUGGCGUAGGCAGCCAACUGGACAGUAACUGACGCUCAUGCACGAAAGCGUGGGGAUCAAACAGG